GACGAACGCUGGCGGCGUGCUUAACACAUGCAAGUCGAACGGAAAGGCCCUGCAUUUGUGGGGUGCUCGAGUGGCGAACGGGUGAGUAACACGUGAGUAACCUGCCCUUGACUUUGGGAUAACUUCAGGAAACUGGGGCUAAUACCGGAUAGGAGCUCCUGAUGCAUGGGGGGGGUUGGAAAGUUUCGGCGGUUGGGGAUGGACUCGCGGCUUAUCAGCUUGUUGGUGGGGUAGUGGCUUACCAAGGCUUUGACGGGUAGCCGGCCUGGGAGGGUGACCGGCCACAUUGGGAUUGAGAUACGGCCCAGACUCCUACGGGAGGCAGCAGUGGGGAAUAUUGCACAAUGGGCGGAAGCCUGAUGCAGCAACGCCGCGUGCGGGAUGACGGCCUUCGGGUUGUAAACCGCGUUCGCCUGUGACGAAGCGUGAGUGACGGUAAUGGGUAAAGAAGCACCGGCUAACUACGUG
rnacentral:rRNA from 1 species